CACUAUGCUUAGCCCUAAACACAAUAAACUAUUAUAACAAAAUUAUUCGCCAGAGUACUACCGGCAAUAGCUUAAAACUCAAAGGACUUGGCGGUGCUUUAUACCCUUCUAGAGGAGCCUGUUCUAUAAUCGAUAAACCCCGAUAGACCUCACCACCCCUUGCUAAUACAGUCUAUAUACCGCCAUCUUCAGCAAACCCUAAAAAGGAACAAAAGUAAGCACAAUCAUCAUACAUAAAAACGUUAGGUCAAGGUGUAACCUAUGAGGUGGGAAGAAAUGGGCUACAUUUUCUAAUUUAAGAAAACUUAACACGAAAGUUAUUAUGAAAUUAAUAACCAAAGGAGGAUUUAGCAGUAAACUAAGAAUAGAGUGCUUAGUUGAAUUAGGCAAUGAAGCACGC
rnacentral:rRNA from 1 species